GCCCACAUAGCUCAGAGGUAGAGCACUUCCUUGGUAAGGAAGAGGUCACCGGUUCAAAUCCGGUUGUGGGCUCCA
rnacentral:tRNA from 1 species